AGAAACAAGCAUCAUCCAAACUUAAAAAAAAAAUCCAUCAUCCAAACAUAGUAGCUCUUAUAUGCAGGAACACAAUACUUCUUUCCAACAGCAGAAGCAUGGCAGCAAGCGAAGCAACCAGGAUCCAGAAAUAAUCUACACCUAUUACAAGAAGAAUUAAUAAGUUGAAAUAAUGCAUACAACAGGUUGACAACUACCAUAUGCACAAUUACAUAAUUCUCAUUUCAAUUCUCAGCAAGGACUGGUCCAUGAUGUACAAGUCUGAUACAAACUCAGUGCAAAGCAGAGUGGAAAGACCACUGAGUUACAGGGGUUUUGGCAUCUAGCAAGACUUGCUCUCUCCUCGUAAUCUAGCCACUUGGACAUAAGCAUCUUCGUUGCUGGUGCUUCUUGCUCAUCGAGGUUUAUGUGCUGGAAAGAUGACACCAAAUAAAGUCUGAAUCAGUUUGAGCACAAGACCGUGUGAGUCUCACACAUCCAUACUUAAAAUAUUUGCUCCUGAGCUAAUAUAAUGAGUAUGCAUUAACAAUACCAUUUCACUAGCAGGAAGAGAACUAUAUGCUGCAUAUAGGUAUUUGAACUUUACUUAAUAUCAUCACUAAACUUGCUAUAACAAUUUGAUCAGGUAUAUUUUCUGCCAUAUGGGAUGAUGAAAUUUCCUACAGCAUUCUCUAGUAUAUGUGAGUGGAAAGAUGAUUUGGAUGCAAUAUAAGUAUAUAACCAGCUAAAAUCCAAAUAGCUGAUUGUUCAGUGACCUUUAAUAUAACAAAAUGAGAAAUCAGUCCAAUUACUGGACUGCAAAGUUAAGGUUGCAAAUUAAAGAGAUGCACAGGAGACUUAUUUUUACAUAUAGGAAGGUAAAAAGUUGCAGUUAUAUACAACCAGUUGUGUUGUACAACUGAAUAAGGAAGAGGAAAUAGCUAACAUAAUUGUUUCACUACAGCAAAACUAGCAUAAUUUUUGGUUUCAGUGCCAUUACUGGAAAAAUAGAUAGUAAACUCUCAAAAACCAGUGAAGUGGUACAUAUUGCAAGUAUAAUAAAUUUCAGUCUUGUGCUGACAAGCACUUAACUUUCAAGUACUUUAACAGGUAGAUGAGAUUAGUUCAUUCUCAUGUACAGUUCCAAAUGCUCUGUACGGACAUGCGUAAAAAAGACUGCACGACCUUUUUGGAAUCCUCGCGGCUCCGAAUGCGCCCACUCACAACACCAAUGGGUUUGUUCUUGUGCAAAAGUCUGCUAUUUAAGAUCUGUUGUGGCUAUUCUGAACUUCACUGCUCUCAAUGAUUGGAGGAUCGGACUACUAAUUAACCUUCACAAAUCAACAGGUAAACGGCUACCUUUUACAAAUCAAUCGUAUCUACACCACCAAAGAAAAUUGUAUCUACACUGAACUUCCAAAUGCAGCAACUUGAGAACCAACGGAUUGAACGAUAAAGUUUUGCACAUUUUCAACAGGAAUUAAUAACACUCAAAAGAACUGUAGUAUGCAACGUUGGCAGCGUCUGAAUAAGCCACAUCUUUUAAAGAAAAUUGAGCAAGGGCAGAAAACGUGCAUUGCACGUGCUUUCCAAGGGUGUCAAUCCUUCCUAGUCUUCCUAGUGCAUCUGUGUGGGAUAAUGGGAGUGUCGCACACAUCACCAACCAUUAACUACAGCAUGAUGCAAGUUCAUAGCUUACAUCUGAUAGAAAAGGUCAACUAUGUCAGGUUGCAUGCAUCCAGCAUUCCAGCAACAAGUGAACUGUUGAAGGCUCCGCUAAAGAAUGGCUUACAAACAUGCAGAAUUAACCUUCCACGGGUCGAACUUGAGAAUCAAAUAAAAAAUAUCGAAACGAUCAUAUGUGAUUGCACCAACAUAGGCAUGCUUGUUACGACAUUUCAUCGAUGACUCCACACAGGUGUGAUGACGAGGUUGCCAUUAGGCUGUAAGCGGCCGCGAUUCUCUUGAACCGAAGAAACUUACGCCACUGGCUCAAGCAGAUGCGCGCUUCUAAAGAGAACACAUAUUGAUCGGUGGCACAAUCAUAGAGUGGCCUCAUCGUCCAUGAGGAGCAUGUUGUUGGCCAUGCGCCCAUGCCUACAAAAUACGAGGCAUUGACAUAGCUUGGACGGUAUUUUCUUGUGAAAGCUAAGUAUGAGUCCCAAAAGUGCAUUUUUGGUGUUGACUACUUGACUUACUAAGUUGUUCUCGUGUGCCAAGUUUAUGUAUCGUGGACAUAUUUGUUUACUCUAGAAAAAAGUUACACCACGGUAUGUAGGGUGCACUUGGGGCCUCAUCCGCAUGUUCUACUCCCACCGCGAUCCCAGGCUCAUCCUCGACAGGAAGCAAGGGAGCAGAAGGCACACCUUCGCUGGUACUGUCCCUCUUGAUUUAAUUAUGGACAACAGUUAUUAUUAGUAAUGUAAAUUCCUGAAUAGUAGUAAUGAUCUAAAUAUGUGGGCAGUGCAACAGAAAUUCAGUUUCAUGACAGUACUAUCGUAAUCUGUGAUGUCCAUCAUUCGCUUCACAAUUCUCUAAUGCCACAAACUAGCAACCGAUACCUCUAGAACUAACUGAAAAAUAUAAGGCAGUCAGGAAAUACAUCACUCAAGAUUCGUGUUGUAAAUUCUGUUAUUGGGAUUGACACUGUUACUAGUAUGAUUGACUAAAGCAGUGGCAAUGAUGCCUACAGAUCUCGUCGAAUAUAGUAGUAUCAGCCGCCGAAUAUAGUACCUACAGAUCUCGUCGAUUGCAAUGGGGUAAGACAAGGGGUAGAUCGAGGUUGUCCUCGGCGUUGUGGAACGAUACCUGGAGAUUCACUCGGCCAGCGUCGAGGCGCAACACAGGAGAGGUCCCCCCGGGCAGCCCUACCGCCGGCGACGACACGACCAGGAUUCCUCCAGUAGCCAAGGUCGCCCAGCUCGGUAGACCUAGGGGCAGAGAUGGAAAGCUUCCUCCAUAGCCAAGGUCGCCCAGCUAGGUACAGGAUCUACACCGCCGUCGCCGUUGGCAGGCCAUUAGGGUUGGGGAUUUGUUCGACCCUCAGCUGUCGGGAACGUCGCGGCUCGAUUUGGAAGAAGGAGAUGACCGGUCAAAA
rnacentral:lncRNA from 1 species